rnacentral:tRNA from 1 species
AAAGAAUUAGUUAAAUAACAUAACAUUAAAUUGUCAAAUUAAAAUUAUUUUUUAUAAAUAUUCUUUU